GAGUGACUUUGGCAGGCGCUACUAGGGGCGGGGUCUGAUGCUCUCUCUAUCAUGUCCUGUCUCCCGCAGGCUUUAAGAUGUGUGUCAGCAGCAGCAGCAACAACCACGACGAGGCCCCCGUGCUGAACGACAAGCACCUGAGUGUGCCCAACAUCAUCAUUACACCCCCAACCCCGACGGGCAUGGGGCUUUCCCGGGAUUCCAACAGCCAAGGUGAGCCAACACCACUAUGCCAGAGCUGUUCCCGGGACUCCUGCGUCACAGCCUGAGCUGGUCCCCAUCUCCCCCUGAGCUUGUUAACGUAGGUCAACUUUGUGGCCAUUCUGCUCUGGGCCCCCUUACCACGAUGCCAGCACUGGCAAGAUGUGGCCCAUUGAGCAAUUGUCUAGGUAGUCCUUGCUGGCAGCUGGGAGGAG
rnacentral:lncRNA from 1 species